UCGCUUGAAGAGGAGCUUGCGGCAGAUUAGCUAGUUGGUAAGGUAAUGGCUUACCAAGGCUACGAUCUGUAUCCGGUCUAAGAGGACGGUCGGACACACUGACACUGAAUAACGGGUCAG
rnacentral:rRNA from 1 species